AGAGUGAACGCUGGCGGUAGGCCUAACACAUGCAAGUCGAACGGCAGCACAGGAGAGCUUGCUCUCUGGGUGGCGAGUGGCGGACGGGUGAGGAUACAUCGGAAUCUACCUUUUCGUGGGGGAUAACGUAGGGAAACUUACGCUAAUACCGCAUAAGACCUUCGGGUGAAAGCCGGGGACCUUCGGGCCUGGCGCGGAUAGAUGAGCCGAUGUCGGAUUAGCUUGGUUGGCGGGGUAAAAGCCCACCAAGGCGACGAUCCGUAGCUGGUCUGAGAGGAUGAUCAGCCACACUGGAACUGAGACACGGUCCAG
rnacentral:rRNA from 1 species